GACGAACGCUGGCGGCGUGCCUAAUACAUGCAAGUCGAACGCAGUGGGGACGGGUGAGUAACACGUGGGUAACCUCCCAUCAGAGGGGAUAACACUUGGAAACAGGUGCUAAACCGAUACUGAUGGAUGGACCCGCGGUGCAUUAGCUAGUUGGUGAGGUAACGGCUCACUAAGGCCACGAUGCAUAGACGACUGUGGAGGGGGAUCGGCCACAAUAGGACUGAGACACGGCCCAGACGCCUACGAGAGGCAGCAGUAGGGAAUCGUCGGCAAUGGACGAAAGUCUGACCUAGAAACGCCGCGUGAGUGAAGAAGGUGUUCGGAGCGUAAAGCUCUGUUGUUAGAGAAGCGGUAUCUAACCAGAAAGCCACGGCUAACUACGUGCCAGCAGCCGCGGUAAUAC
rnacentral:rRNA from 1 species